rnacentral:tRNA from 1 species
GCCUGGUUGGCUCAUUGGUGGAGCAUCUGCCUUUGGCUCAGGUUGUGAUCCCAGGGGUUGUGGGAUCGAGUCCCACAUCGGGCU